AACGAACGCUGGCGGCAUGCCUAAUACAUGCAAGUCGAACGAUCACUUCGGUGGUAGUGGCGCACGGGUGCGUAACGCGUGGGAAUCUGCCCUUGGGUUCGGAAUAACGUCGGGAAACUGACGCUAAUACCGGAUGAUGACGUAAGUCCAAAGAUUUAUCGCCCAGGGAUGAGCCCGCGUAGGAUUAGCUAGUUGGUGGGGUAAAGGCCUACCAAGGCGACGAUCCUUAGCUGGUCUGAGAGGAUGAUCAGCCACACUGGGACUGAGACACGGCCCAGACUCCUACGGGAGGCAGCAGUAGGGAAUAUUGGACAAUGGGGGCAACCCUGAUCCAGCGAUGCCGCGUGAGUGAUGAAGGCCUUAGGGUUGUAAAGCUCUUUUACCCGGGAUAAUAAUGACAGUACCGGGAGAAUAAGCCCCGGCUAACUCCGUGCCAGCAGCCGCCGUAA
rnacentral:rRNA from 1 species